rnacentral:tRNA from 1 species
GUCCAAGUAAUUUAACAAAAAUACUG